GACGAACGCUGGCGGCGUGCUUAACACAUGCAAGUCGAACGAAGAGCGAUGGAAGCUUGCUUCUAUCAAUCUUAGUGGCGAACGGGUGAGUAACGCGUAAUCAACCUGCCCUUCAGAGGGGGACAACAGUUGGAAACGACUGCUAAUACCGCAUACGAUCUAAUCUCGGCAUCGAGGAUAGAUGAAAGGUGGCCUCUACAUGUAAGCUAUCACUGAAGGAGGGGAUUGCGUCUGAUUAGCUAGUUGGAGGGGUAACGGCCCACCAAGGCGAUGAUCAGUAGCCGGUCUGAGAGGAUGCACGGCCACAUUGGGACUGAGACACGGCCCAGACUCCUACGGGAGGCAGCAGUGGGGAAUCUUCCGCAAUGGACGAAAGUCUGACGGAGCAACGCCGCGUGAGUGAUGACGGCCUUCGGGUUGUAAAGCUCUGUUAAUCGGGACGAAAGGCCUUCUUGCGAAUAGUGAGAAGGAUUGACGGUACCGGAAUAGAAAGCCACGGCUAACUACGUG
rnacentral:rRNA from 1 species